rnacentral:rRNA from 1 species
UAACUUUUAGCAACGGAUCUCUUGGCUCUCGCAUCGAUGAAGAACGCAGCGAAAUGCGAUAAGUAAUGUGAAUUGCAGAAUUCAGUGAAUCAUCGAAUCUUUGAACGCACCUUGCGCCCUUUGGGUUUACCCUGGGCAUGCUGGAUUGUGAGCGCCUU